ensembl:lncRNA
CCCUCCCCCUCCGGGUGCUUAGCCAUUUUUCAAAAUGUUCAUAAAAACAAACUCACAAAAAUAAAUAAAUAUAGCUGCGAGCAGCAAUGUGGGUGUCAAGCAUAAUGGGACUCGAUAAAACUAAUUUUGCCGGACGGACGUCAUCGGCUAGGUGGCUACAUGACGACCGUCUCGGUAAUCGGUAAUAACGACAGCUGGUGGAAUGUACUACAGCAGUGGUUUUCAAACUGUGGGGCGCACCCCCCCUUGGGGGCGCCAGAGUUCUUCAGGGGGGGGGGGCGCGACGUGAGAAAAAAAUAAACCCGAAAAAACCACCGAAAGUCGAUGAUUCAAAUCAUCAGUCGUACUUCAACUGUAGAAGUAACAUAACUAAAUCAAUUUUCAACCGUUUAUCUUCGUGCAAACCAUUUAACAAAUCUACACACUUGUAUCUUCAAUAAUAUCGAAACUGAAUUUCGAUAGCAUUUAUACUUUCUUCAGAAUCACAGUUUUAGUUUCAAACCGGCAUCGUUCGUCAGUUGCUUAUAAUAAUUUAGGUCACCAUAGCAACGCCGGUAGACAAACCCCGCCGAAUAGUCGAAUCUCUGGACUGAAAAGGCAGAUCUGAUUAGACUCAGAAAAUUCAGAGUCGGGGACCCUGAAUGAAUCUGCGGGGACCCUGAAUGAAUCUGUGUAAACUGGCAGUUUACACAGAUUAAGAUGUUCAAAUGUAUUUAAAAAAGGUUGAGCGAAAACAUGCUUAGAUAAAGUUGUUAAAUUGUGUUAAGAAAUGUGUUUAAAAACGCACAAAGAUGUUGUAAUGUUUCAAAAAUAUGUUUAAAAAAUACGUUUCAAAGAUAUGUUUCAAACGUUGGUCCGAUAUUAACAGCCGAUAAUAUCGGACCAAAAGGACCGAAAGGUUUUAUACAAAUUAUUUCGUUAUUGAGGUUAAGUAUUUUUAUCCAGACACUCUUGGAGAGAACAGCAACGCUUUCGGCCCGCCUAUAUCAGAUAAACUUGUCACGAUCCGUUCCUGAGUUUCCCAGUCACCCUGCAAUUCCCUAAUCAACCCAACCAUCCUCACCUGUAUUACUUCUAUAUUAACCCUCUGCCCCCAACCAGUCUCUGCCAGAUCGUCUCUAGUCUUUACUGAGCUUUCCCGCACUCUUAGGGCCAUAUGAAAUCCGUUUUAUUUUUUUCCAAAUUCCGUUUUUUUUCCAAAUUCCGUUUUUUCCGUUUUAAUUUUCAUUAAUUCCGUUUUUACACUUAAAAUCAUCAGAACGAGUGUCAAAUAAGUGCGAACGAAUACAAUUUAAUCAGAUAGAAGACUACAUUUAUUAAAACAUCACAACAUUGCACUGUUUUUAGUGCUUCAAAUAAAAACAUGACAUAAAUA